GGGAGAAAGGUCCCUGCUGUUUGCCGUGUCCUGGGUGGGCACAGAGCUCUGACCUUGGCCAGAUGGGCUGGUUUCCGGGUGUUUUGAUCCUGACGUCACCAAACCCUCAGGUUUGCUGAACUGGGGCUCUUACCUGUGUGACCCGUGAAAUGUCCCGGAAGCUGAUCGAUGUCUUUGUGCUCCCGCUGUGUUCAUUUGGGCUGUGCUUCAGGCUUCUCUCCCGGGGCCCUUGCCGUUGCUGUAUCUCUUGGAUGCCGUGCAGAACGGAAUCAGGCAGCCAAGCCUCAGGUUCACCUUCUCCCUCACCCUCUGCGCUGCUCGUGUGGCACAGCAGAUCCUGAAGCCAGAGGAGCACGUGUACAUAAGGGUAAAGAGAUUCCUUCUGUCACACCGGUGUUUGGACCUGAGGAAGGUACCAGGCUUUCUCCAGCUUUUCUACAGUUUUGAUUUUGAGUACAAAACAGCACGAGUGGAUCCUCAGAUUUCUUGGGGAAGGGCUGCGUGACAAACAUUGCUGUGAGCUCUAUGUCUACCAGAGGAUUUUCCGGGUCAUUCUUGCCUUUCUCAGCAGUCCUUUGUGUGACCAGGGCUCCCAGAGUCGUAUUCUGGAGGUAUGAC